UACGUAGGGUGCAAGCGUUGUCCGGAAUUAUUGGGCGUAAAAGAGCUCGUAGGCGGCUAGUCACGUCGGAUGUGAAAACCCGAGGCUCAACCUCGGGCCUGCAUUCGAUACGGGCUGGCUAGAGUACUGCAGGGGAGACUGGAAUUCCUGGUGUAGCGGUGAAAUGCGCAGAUAUCAGGAGGAACACCGGUGGCGAAGGCGGGUCUCUGGGCAGUAACUGACGCUGGAGGAGCGAAAGCGUGGGGAGCGAACAGG
rnacentral:rRNA from 1 species